GUCGUGGUGGCGGAGUGGUUAACGCGAUAGACUCGAAAUCUAUUUCUUUCGGGAGCAGAGGUUCGAAUCCUCUUCACGACG
rnacentral:tRNA from 2 species